rnacentral:lncRNA from 10 species
AGUGCGGCGGGAAGCGGGCCCAGAAGGAGGCGCGAGAGGCCCGCGGCGCCGGCCUGAUGCCUGCAGCGCCCCAUGGCGGCGGGAGGCGGGCUGGCCGGCGCCGCGCGCAUGUGGUCCGGUCCAGAGGCGGGAUUUCACCGUGUUAGCCACAACGGUCUUGAUCUCCUGACCUCGUGAUCCUCCCGCCUCGGCUUCCCAAAGUGCUGGGAUUACAGGCGUGAGCCACCGCGCCCGGCCUGGCAUCAUUAUUCUGAGACUUACCCCAGCGUUGCAGGCAUCGGUGGCUUCUGUCAGCUGCUGAGUAGCACCCGCCAGAUGGAUUCCAGAUUCCAAGGAUGGCUUCUCCACUGAUGGCCCGGGCAGGACCACAGGCGUUCCGUCAUCCUGGGGGGGUGUGCAGGGUCUGCCCUGUGCUCUUCAUCGGCGUCUCCCUGAUGAGUAAUGAUGAGCGUUUUCUCAUCUUUUUUUGUCAUCCGUGUAUCUGCAUUAUUGGUGUCUGUUCAAAUUGUUUGCUCACUUUUUGAAAAUAUUUUUUAUGGCCAGGCGCGAUGGCUCACGCCUGUAAUCCCAGCACUUUGGGAAGCCGAGGCGGGUGGAUCACCUGAGGUCAGGAGUUCAAGACCAGCCUGCCCAACAUGGUGGAACCCGGUCUCUACAAAAAUACAAAAAUUAGCCGGGCAUGGUAGCAGACACCUGUAAUCCAGCUACUUGGGAGGCUGAGGCAGGAGAAUCACUUGAACGUGGGAG